rnacentral:rRNA from 1 species
UACGAAGGGGGCUAGCGUUGCUCGGAAUCACUGGGCGUAAAGCGCACGUAGGCGGAUUGUUAAGUCGGGGGUGAAAUCCUGGAGCUCAACUCCAGAACUGCCUUCGAUACUGGCGAUCUUGAGUCCGGGAGAGGUGAGUGGAACUCCGAGUGUAGAGGUGAAAUUCGUAGAUAUUCGGAAGAACACCAGUGGCGAAGGCGGCUCACUGGACUGGUAUUGACGCUGAGGUGCGAAAGCGUGGGGAGCAAACAGG